rnacentral:rRNA from 1 species
AACGUAGGACGCAAGCGUUAUCCGGAGUUACUGGGCGUAAAGGGCGUGUAGGCGGCGCUGCAAGUUCGUCGUGAAAGCCUCCGGCUCAACCGGGGAGGGUCGAGGGAGACUGCGGCGCUGGAGGACGGUAGAGGGACAGGGAAUUCCGGGUGUAGUGGUGAAAUGCGUAGAGAUCCGGAGGAACACCAGUGGCGAAGGCGCUGUCCUGGGCCGCACCUGACGCUGAAACGCGACAGCAUGGGGAGCGAACGGG